AUAUAUGUGAAAGUAUCAGGUACCCCCUGCGGCAGGGGGUUUAAAAGGGAAUCGGGUGCAAAUCCCGAACGGUCCGGCCACUGUGAUGGGCUAGUUAGUUUCAUUAUUUCACCACUGGUUAAACCGGGAAGGUUGAAACUAGCGCUGAUGCCUCAGUCAGGAGACCUGCCUGAUGCUUAACUGACCC
rnacentral:ncRNA from 2 species